UAAUGUCCCAGGGCUGAUUAAAAAGUACUACAAACUGGGUAGCUAAAAACCAUGGAAAUUUUUCUCUCAUAGUUGUGGAGAUAAGAAGGCUAAAACUAAGAUGCUGUCAGAGCAGUGAUCCUUUGGAAGCCUCUAAAGGAUGAUGCAUCCUUGCCUCUUUUAGCUCCUGGGAGCGCAACACUUUCCUUGGUUGUGGUAAUAUUAUCGAUGAAUUCUCCUUUGUUGGCCUUACUAAGAAUGAUCUCAAAAAAUUACCAACCAAGGAAGAAAAUACACCCCUAGACUUCAGAUUUUCAGCUUCUGUUAGAACAAUGAAAGAUCCAUUGCUCACAGUUGAUGCUGCUUCCUCAAUGCUGGUCAAAGCCUGUCACUUCAUCCAGUGUUUCAGGUACCAAGCUAGAAUCUUCGAUUCUUCCUUGCUCUAACCCCAUGGACACAAGGACCAACUAGAAGUUUGCAAAUGUUCUUUCAUAAUCUAUCUCAAGAGAUCUAUUGAACAUUGAACAGACUUGGUUUUAUUUCAUUUUAUUUCAUUAAAUGAUUCAUUCAAGUAA